GACGAACGCUGGCGGCGUGCUUAACACCUGCAAGUCGAGCGAGACCCCGCUUUCGGGUGCGUGUUCUAGCGGCGAACGGGUGAGUAACACGUGGGCAACCUGCCCUCAGCUCUGGGAUAACUCCCAGAAAUUGGGUCUAAUACCGGAUAAGACCGCUGACCGCACGGUCUGGUGGUGGAAAGAUGCAUCGGCUGGGGAUGGGACCGCGGCCUAUCAGCUUGUUGGUGGGGUAGUGGCCUACCAAGGCGACAACGGUUAGCCGGCCUGAGGGGGUGACCGGCCACACUGGGACUGAGACACGGCCCAGACUCCUACGGGAGGCAGCAGUGGGGAAUAUUGCGCAAUGGGCGAAAGCCUGACGCAGCGACGCCGCGUGGGGGAUGACGGCCUUCGGGUUGUAAACCUCUUUCAGCAGGGACGAAGCGAAAGUGACGGUACCCGCAGAAGAAGCACCGGCCAACUACGUGCCAGCCGCCGCCGUAA
rnacentral:rRNA from 1 species